UACAGGAUAUUAAGUUAGAUAGGCCACACUAGAAACAUGUACUACUUCUACUUAAAAACCUUAUCCUGAACAGAAGACAUUUAACCACUGAUCAAGUGCAGUGCGUAUUAAAAAUGGAGUUCCACUAAGGCUAUAAAGCUGUUGUGGUUUGUAUGUGAUAAGUUUUUUGUUCCGGUUUCAGGUUACUAGCUUCAGACACAAACCACGGCAGCUUAUAUGGCCGUAGAAUUCUACCUGCACUGAACCCAUAGGAAUAAUAGAUAUUAUUAAUAUCUAUUAUUUUUAUGACUAAACCCCAAUUAGCUCCUGUUGGUCGCUAAAACCUUCUGUUCGGCAGAUGAUUCCUGCUAUCAUAUAUGUCAGUCGUUCAUAUUAAGGUCAUGUUCACGAAGCAAUUUGUGCUGCAAGUUCCAACGCAAUUUCGGAUACAGUCAUACAGAGCCAUGUUAUCUAAAAAGUACUCGCAUGGAAAUUGUGAGCAUGGCCUGCAUUCCACUCUACCGACACUUUCUUCUCGUAACACACCCUUAAAUUAAGUGACAAGAAAAUGGGAUAAAAAAUGUCAGCAAAGUCAACUGUGGGCCAUGCUCACCAUUUUCCUGUGACUGCUUUUUAGAUAACAUGACUCUAGGUCAGAAAUUGCGUUGCAAGUUGUAGCAAAAAUUGGCUUUAGCUAAGGUUACCAUCGAAACCCACCAAUGAAAUGUGCCAGCCAUACUUUGCCUUUUGCUGAUAAAUAAUUUUCCAUCUCUUUCAGGAUUAAUGUGUAGCGUAGGAAAAAGUGCGAAUAAUCAAAUUGUAGACGAGUUUGGAAUCGGCUAAUAGUGAUAUUGGACAUUUUACUCUUUUGGUAAAUAUCAGGAUUUUGGGCAUCCCACUCAAUGUAACGAAUAGACCUUUCCCCUUUUGAGUGAAAUUUUGGUCUAGACAAGUCUGGACAAAAAUUUCAUCACAGCUUGAAAGAGCAUCACAAAAUUAGUAAUCUUCCGAAGUUUCGUUGCGAAAUGUUGUAAAAUGCGGAUAAUAUAGCCUUGCGAAGUUUGCCGUUUUUCAGUCAUUUUGCAUUACAAACGGGAAAUUGAUAAUCAGAUGAUCAAACUGAUGGAAAAUGUUAGAUUGUAAUGCAAAAUGACUGAAAAACGGCAAACUUCGCAAGCUGUAUUUUCCGCAUUUUACAACAUUUCGCAACGAAACUUCGGAAUAUUACUAAUUUUGUGAUGCUCUUUCAAGCUGUGAUGAAAUUGUUGCCCAGGCGUAUCUAGAUCAAAAUUUCACUCAUAAGGGCAUUAAGGGGAAAGGUCUAUUGUUGAAGAGAUUUGUAGAUCGACGUUCGAGUGGAAUUUCCAUCUACAGACCUCUUCAAUAAUAGACAAUUCCCAUUAUAGACUAAUUUUAGAACUAGGCAAGGAGAUGCAAAUAAAUCAC